AAUAGGCCUGAGAGGUAAGAUUAUAGCUUUGGGCUUAUGGGCUAUUCAGGACAUUUGUCAUAACCAUAGCGGAUGCUAGAAUAUUCAAAACACACUAGCCUUACCACCAGUCAUGAUUGAGUCGUUUAGGAGCUUAUGUUCAUUUCCCUUGCAGAAACUAUCAUCCUCCGCCUUCUCUCUUCUUUGGAUACGUUUUCUUAUGUUCGUUUCCCCUGCAGAAAGCCAACCCGUCUCAAAAUUUUGAACACGCAGCGACAAACCAACAAGAGGUGUUUCCUUUGGUUGCCCUGGAACUGUUUAAAUACAAUAAAAUUUCUCUGCAACCAAACAAUGCACCUGUCCAUUUACAAGACGCAAAUUGAAUCUACCCCAGAUACAUCCAUGCAUCAGUAGGAGUGAUAAAAGCUGAAACGCAAUCAUUAUCUUCUUUACAUUUUUUUCUGUUACUUGCUAUCCUCAAACAACGACUUUGAUAAAAAGGCAGGCCUGAUUGGUACUUCAAUUAAUCUUACCUGGACAGGUAUAGCCUAAAUUCAGGUUCGAAGUCAUGGGAAUCUUGCGCUCCUAGCUUUAUUUAGUCUUCUUUUUCCAGCUCUUUGUUCUUCCUCUGCCAUACCUUCUCAGCAGGUUUUCAGCACAUCCAAACAACAACUAGUAACAUCCAAAGGAUCUACUUCUUCUUCUUCUUCUAUCAUCGAUUUAACCUUGGGCCAAAAGAGAGAGGUUUUGUCUGUGGGUUUGUUGCUAGGGGUGCUGAUAAAGAAGAGAUAUUUGAGACCAAGAUGAAGGAACCGAAGAAGAUUGUGAACAUAUACAUGGCUUGCUUAUGGUCCUUUUUAGUGAGUUUGACAGGAGGUCUGAUGUUGGCAUGGUGGGAACAUAAAUAUCAUCCAACAAAUAGGCAGCUGUGGAUGGUGCCCUUUGGUCUUAUUCUGUUUACUACUCCACUCAUCAUUUGGUUCGCCAUUUUCGUUUCUGAUAUCUGCAGUUUUUCAGAGGAAGUAAGGCCGCCAAAUAGCUCAGUUCAUGACCCAGAAAAGAUGAUCAAGCAAGUUAUUUCAACUUCCUAUUGAUUGUUUCUAUAAAGCUUUAAAUUUUUCUUUUCUUUUUUUUUGGAUAAAACUUUACAAGAAUUACAAGCAAUAUCAGAUCGCCCUUCUGCCUCAUCUUUGUACAGUUUUA